UUCUUUUGCAGACAUUGAUUAUAAUUUAUGUUACAAUUAAAAAGUAAUUCGAAUGAUGUUAUUGUUCUUUCCACCAAUUUGUCGCAACACAGUUUCCAUAGUUUCAACCAAACAAACAAAAUGUCGAAUUUAUAAUGCAGUUUAUUUCAAAAGACCAGUAUCAGCACAUUAAAAUCCGGCCCAGCGUGUAUGUCAAGUACAGAUCAGGAUAGCUUCUCAUAUUACAUUGAUAUUUUCUCGUCCUGAAUAUACAUAUAACUAGUAUUUACAGCUGGACGUUGUGUAAUAUUCCAUUAUAAUCAUCAUCAAAAGGCUAGUAUCAAAUAAUUCAAAAUUUCCGUCCAAUUACGAAAUGCUUUUAUCAAA
rnacentral:lncRNA from 1 species